rnacentral:rRNA from 1 species
GACGAACCGUGCGAACGUUAUUCGGAAUCACUGGGCUUAAAGGGCGCGUAGGCGGGCCGAAAAGUCAGGGGUGAAAUCCUCCAGCCCAACUGGAGAAGCGCCUUUGAUACUGUCGGCCUCGAGGGGUGCAGGGGCAUGCGGAACUCAGGGUGGAGCGGUGAAAUGCGUAGAUAUCCUGAGGAACACCGGUGGCGAAAGCGGCGUGCUGGACACCUUCUGACGCUGAGGCGCGAAAGCCAGGGGAGCGAACGGG